rnacentral:rRNA from 1 species
UACGAAGGGGGCUAGCGUUGUUCGGAAUUACUGGGCGUAAAGCGCGCGCAGGCGGUCCUUUAAGUCAGGGGUGAAAGCCCAGAGCUCAACUCUGGAACUGCCUUUGAAACUAGAGGACUUGGGUACGGGAGAGGUGAGUGGAAUUCCGAGUGUAGAGGUGAAAUUCGUAGAUAUUCGGAAGAACACCAGUGGCGAAGGCGACUGACUGGACAUGUAUUGACGCUGAGGUGCGAAAGCGUGGGGAGCAAACAGG